AAACCAGCUCUUCAAGUGGUUGGGACUUUUACUGGGCUUAAAGUGUCCGUAGCCGGUUUGGUAAGUCCCUGGUUAAAUCUGGCAGCUUAGCUGUCAGUCCGCUAGGGAUACUGCUUUACUAGAGGGCGGGAAAGGUCUGAGGUACUCCAGGGGUAGCGGUGAAAUGCGAUAAUCCUUGGGGGACCACCAGUGGCGAAAGCGGCAGAAUGGACCGCGCCCGACGGUGAUGGACGAAAGCCAGGGGAGCGAACGGGAUUAGAUACCCCGGUAGUCCUGGCCGUAAACGAUGCACGCUAGAUGUUGGUAGGGCUAUGAGCUGUAUCAGUGCCGUAGGGAAACCGUUAAGCGUGCCGCCUGGGUAGUACGUUCGCAAGUAUGAAACUCAAAGGAAUUGACGGGG
rnacentral:rRNA from 1 species